rnacentral:rRNA from 1 species
GACGAACGCUGGCGGCGUGCUUAACACAUGCAAGUCGAACGGAAAGGCCCUGCUUUUGUGGGGUGCUCGAGUGGCGAACGGGUGAGUAACACGUGAGUAACCUGCCCUUGACUUUGGGAUAACUUCAGGAAACUGGGGCUAAUACCGGAUAGGAGCUCCUGCUGCAUGGUGGGGGUUGGAAAGUUUCGGCGGUUGGGGAUGGACUCGCGGCUUAUCAGCUUGUUGGUGGGGUAGUGGCUUACCAAGGCUUUGACGGGUAGCCGGCCUGAGAGGGUGACCGGCCACAUUGGGACUGAGAUACGGCCCAGACUCCUACGGGAGGCAGCAGUGGGGAAUAUUGCGCAAUGGGCGGAAGCCUGAUGCAGCAACGCCGCGUGCGUGAUGACGGCCUUCGGGUUGUAAACCGCUUUCGCCUGUGACGAAGCGUGAGUGACGGUAAUGGGUAAAGAAGCACCGGCUAACUACGUG